UACGUAGGCAGCGAGCGUUGUUCGGAGUUACUGGGCGUAAAGCGUGCGUAGGCGGUGUCUUAAGUUUGUUGUGAAAUCUCCCGGCUUAACCGGGAGGGUGCGGCGAAUACUGAGAUGCUGGAGUGCCGGAGAGGUAAGCGGAAUUCCUGGUGUAGCGGUGAAAUGCGUAGAUAUGAUGUAGAACACCAAUUGCGAAGGCAGUUCACUAAGCUGUCAUUGACGCUGAGGCACGAAAGCGUGGGGAGCGAACAGG
rnacentral:rRNA from 1 species